AAUAUUGCACAAUGUGGGAAAUCCUGAUGUCGUAACGCCGCGUGAUCUCAGAAUACCAACGGUUCGAAAAGCUCUGUCCUAAGGGAAGAAUACUGACGGUACCCUAGGAGGAAGCACCGGCAAACUACGUUCCAGCAGCCGCGGUAAUACGUAGGGGGCAAGCGUUAUCCGGAAUCACUGGGCGUAAAGGGUGCGUAGGCGGCUAAUCAAGCCAGGGGUGAAAGGCUACGGCUUAACCGUAGUAAGCCUUUGGAACUGACUAGCUUGAGUGCAGGAGAGGAGAGUGGAAUUCCUAGUGUAGCGGUGAAAUGCGUAGAUAUUAGGAGGAACACCAGUGGCGAAGGCGACUCUCUGGACUGUAACUGACGCUGAGGCACGAAAGCGUGGGGAGCAAACAGG
rnacentral:rRNA from 1 species